CAGAUGAAAUGAAUUUUAAUAUACUUUAACCUAUCAAAUUUUUUUUUAUCAUUUCAACAUGUCAUCAAUAUAAAAAUACGAAUGAAAUAUUAAAUUCUCAGCCGGGCAUGGUGGCUCACACCUGUAAUCCCAGCAGCUUGGCAGGCCGAGGCAGGCGGAUCACUUGAGGUCAGGAUUUCGAGACCAGUCUGGCCAACGUGGUGAAACCCCAUCUCUGCAAAAAUACAAAAAAUGAGCCGGGUGUGGUGGUGGGCCCCUGUAGUCCCAGCUACUCGGGAGGCUGAGGCAGGAGACCUACUUGAGCCUGGAAGGCAGAGGUUGCAGUGAGCUGAGGUCGCAUCACUGCACUCCAGCCUGGGCAACAGAGUGAGACCCCGUCUCAAAAAAAAAAAAAAAAAAAAAGAAAUAUUAAAUUCUCUUUCUGAUACUAAGUCUUUGAAAUCUGGUGUAUAUUUCAGACAGAGCAUCUCAAUUUGGAUCAGCCACAUUUCACGUGUUGUGUGAGUUUCAAACAAUCUCUCUAAGAUUGUUUGUUUUGAGACGAAGUCUUGCUCUGUCUCCCAGGCUGGAGUGCAAUGGCACGAUCUCAGUUCACUGCAAUCUCCGCCUCCUGGGUUCAAGCGAUUCUCCUGCCUUAGCCUCCCAAGUAGGUGGGACUGCAGGCACCUGCCACUACACCCAACUAAUUUUUGUGUUUUUAGUAGAGAUGGGGUUUUGCCAUGUUGGCCAGGCUGGUCUCGAACUCCUGACCUCAGGCGAUCCUCCUGCCUUGGCCUCCCAAAGUGCUGGGAUUACAGGCAUGAGCCACCGCCUCCGGCCCUGAGAUUGUUUUUUCAUCUAUAAAGUCAGGAAAAUAAUACUUUCCUCUGAGGUCUGUUAUCAGUAUUGUGAUACUUGCAAGAAAAGCGUAUGCUCAACAAAUGAGUGCUAUCAUCAUUUUAUCAUGGCUAUUUAAACAAAUUAAUGUGCAGUCUGUUCAGAACUAAAACUGGAUGUCACAGCUGAUAGGUGUUUUUGUACUUUUCCCACAACAUUAUGCUGCUUCUAGUCAUGAAUCAAAUCACUGGACUUAAGGGUUUGAACCUGGCAUAAACUGAUCUUGGUUCAAGUCCUGGCUCCUGGUGCUUGUGUGACCUUGGGUGAGUGAUUUUUUACCCCUUGAAGACUGGGUGUUCUCUACUAUAAAACAGAGAUGAUAAUAAUCACACCUUCCUGAUGGGUUUUUUAUGAAAGUUUCAUGGAGCGAUGUAGGUAGAGCCUGCAGUGCCGUGUCUGGCACUAGCUAAGCACUCCAUGAUUGUUUAAGAUUAUCUUAUUCCGGCCAGGCUCGGUGGCUCAUGCCUGUAAUCCCAGCACUUUGGGAGGCCAAGGCAGGUGGAUUACCUGAGGUCGGGAGUUUGAGACCAGUCUGGCCAAGAUGGUGAAACCCCAUCUCUCCUAAAAAUACAAAAAUUAGCCAGGUGUGGUGGCAGGCGCCUGUAAUCCCAGAUACUUGGGAGUCUGAGGCAGGAGAAUCUGUUGAACCCAGGAGGCAGAGGUUGCAGUGAGCCAAGAUUGGACCACUGCACUCCAGCCUGGGCGACACAACGAGACUCAGUCUCAAAGAAAAAAAAAAAAAAGGCCAGGCGCAGUGGCUCACACCUGUAAUCCCAGCACUUUGGGAAGCUGAGGCAAGUGGAUCAUGAGGUCAGGAGAUCCAGACCAUCCUGGCUAACAUGGUGAAACCCUGUCUUUACUAAAAAGUACAGAAAAUUAGGGCAUGGUGGUGGGCGCCUGUAGUCCCAG
rnacentral:lncRNA from 1 species